AAAAAGUAAUAUUAAAUAUUUAAUAUUUAACUUAGUAUUUAAUUUUAUUUUAAAUAAAAACAUCAAAAUUAUACAGAUGCAAGUAUAGCAUAAUUUAGAGGAAAGUUUACAGCCACUUUAGAAGACAGUUUCGCAGUUUAUCAUAAGACUAAUUGCCCUUACCAUUUUUACCAUAAUUGAAAAAUGAUUUUGGAUGUAUAAAUCAUCAUUUUAAAUAAUAAAAAGAUUAAAAGCCCUAAUUAAAAAAAUGUUUUAACAGGAUCAGGAGUAAGGAAAGGCUGUUCAGUCUUAACAUUACAUUUAAUUUUUUUUUUUUAAUGUUUUAAUUUAUUUUUGAGAGAGAGAGAGAGAGAGAAGCAGAGCAUGAGUGAGGAAGGGACAGAGAGAGAGAGGGAGACACAGAAUCCGAGGCAGGCUCCAGGCUCUGAGCUGUCAGCAGAGAGCCUGACACUGGGCUUGAACUCGUGAACCAGGAGAUCAUGACCUGAGCCGGAGUCGGAUGCUUAGCUGACUGAGCCACCCAGGUGCCCCUUAAUGUUCCAUUUUAAUAUCCUACUAGAAUCCUAGCUAAUGCAAUAAGAUCAUGAAAGGAAAUAAAAGGUAUACUGGUUAAGAAAGGAGAAAUAAAACUGUAUUUGUUUACAGAUGGCAUGAUUGUUUAUAGAAAAUAUGAAAAAAAGAUUAAAAAGCUCCUGCUGAAAUUAAUAGGCAAUUAUAUUAAGGUUGUAAGAUACAAGGUUAAUGUGUAAAAAUCUGUUGUUUUCCUAAUAUCAGCAAUGAAUGAUUAGGAUUUGAAAUUUAAAAAAAUUACCAUUUACAUUAGCAUCCAAAAACUGAAAUAUGUGGGUAUAAAUCUAACAAAAUAUGUACAGGAAAACUAUAAAACUAAUGAAAAUAAAUAAAUACAUAGAUAUUCCAUUUUACUAGGUAGGAAGACUCAAUAUUGUUCAGAUGUCAUUUCGUUCCAACUUGAUCUUUAUAUUCAACACAAUCCUGAUCAAAAGCCCAGGAAGAUAUUUUUGGUUAUCCACAAACUGAUUCUACAACUAAUACGGAGAGGUAAAAGAGUCAGAAUAGGCAGUACAGUAUGUCAGAGAAAUGACACUACCCCACCUUAAGACAUUUUAUAAAGAUAUAAUAAUCAAGGUGGUAUAUUGGCUAAAGAAUAGACAAAUCAACCGGGCAGAACAGUUUGUUCAGAUAUAGACCCACACAAAUAUAGUAAAUUGAUCUUUGACAGAGGAGUAAAGGCAGUACAGUAGAGAAGCGAUAAUCUUUCAUGAAAUGGGGCUGAAACAACUGGACACCCACAUGCAAAAAAAAAAAAAUCUAAACAUAGACCUUACACCUUUCACAAAAAUUAACUCAAAAUAGAUCAUAGACUUAAAUGUCAAAGCAAAACUAGAAAAUUCCCAGAAGACAAUAUAGGAGAAAACCUGCAUGAUCUUGAGUUAGCAUGAAUUUUAGAUACAAUCAAAAGGCAUGGUUCCUGAAAUAAAAAUUGAUAAUCUGCACCAUAUUAACAUUAAAAACUUCUGCUCUAUGAAGGACACUACCAACAGGAUGAGAAGACAAGCCACAUAUUAGGAAAAAAGAAUUUUUCAAAAGACAUAUUUGAUGAAGGACUGUUAUUCAAAACAUAGAAUUUUCUCUUAAAGCUCAAUGAUAAGAAAAUAACCUUACUAAAAAAUUGGCAAAAGAUCUGAAUAUACAACUCACCAAAGAAGAUGCACAAAUGGAAAAUAAGGAUGUAGAAAGAUGCUCAAUAUCAUGCGUAAUUAGCAAAUGGCAAAUUAAUAAUAUUAAAUACCAUGACACCUGUUAGAAUAUAUAUGUUUCAAAAACUGAAGACACUGACAACACUAAAUGCUGUUAAAGAUGUGGAACAAAAGGAUCUCUCAUUCAUUACUGAUGAGACUGUGAAAUAAUACAGCCACAUGGGAGGUAGGUUGGCAGUUUCUUAGAAAACCAAACUGAUGAUUUCUCCUCAACUCAUUUUGAGAAUAUUCUCACUUCUCAGGAACUUUAGGCUGUGUAAUUUUUGUUGUUGUUGUUGUUGUUGUUGUUAUCUCUGAUGCCUCUAAAAAUACAAUACUUAUGGCUUAUCUAGCUUUUUCUAAUUUUUGGCAGUGGGAGCUUUGAUUGGCCUUCUGUGACCUACAUUCUGCUUAGAAGUUCAGGUUCUCUGUCUGCCUUAACACAUUGUUUUGGUAAUGAGUUAUAUCCUGAGUAAAUAUAAGCAAUUACAUGUCAUUGUAACUUUAAAGAAAACAAAUCUGUUUUUUGAAUAAUUGAUUUUUAUUUGGUUCAUUUCAAGUAGAAUAUUUAAUCCACUGCCUCCAUUAUUUUCUCUAAAAUAUGAAGAAACUUUCAUCCCUGUUCCUCUUCUCACUCCACUUAUGCCUUUAGUGAUAUAAUCUACUUUCUUUGCCUUUAUUCACAGUCUGCAUAUUACUGUCUCCUUAAAUCUGUGUAAUCUGCCACAUCACUCUCUUGAACCCCAGAGCCGUGGUUCUAAGGCUUAAUUGACAUUUGAAUGUUCAUCAGGAACCUGAAACUCAUCUGCUCAAAAUCAAAAUAUAUUGCUUCACCUUUCAGUAGGUCUCCUACAUUCCCAGGGUUCCAGUUUUGACUCUAUCACUAGGACUGUCUGUAAUUUUUAGUAAUAAGCUCCUUAGCCUCUAUGAGUGUUAUUUUUCAAAAAAACUUUAUAUUUUAUUUAAAUGAAUAGAAAUAGAACAAGGUCAUUGCUUGUUUUAACAAAAUAUUUUAUCAAAUGUCUAAUUAGUAUUUGUCUUUUUCAAAACCAAAAUAGUAUAUGUUCAGGUUACCUCACGUGUAAGUGAAAUAAUUCACUGCUUUGAUAGGAAUUAAUUGGUCAAGUCAAACAACGAAUAAUUAAGGAUAACUUGGUCUUGUCGACUCAGUUCAAUGCUCAGAAGUAUAGGUUUAAAAUCCUAAGAGACAAAGCUAAAUUAGUUUUAAUUGGGCCUUUUAUAUGACCACUUAAGUGCUUACUUUUCCUAAUGUGUUGGUUUUUUACAACUAAAAUAUGCAACCUGUUGUCUUUUAAUUUCUCUAAUUCCCUCUUCUUUUCUCAGGAGAGAGUUCUGUAUCAAGGAGUGUGCUAUACCUGGGUGAACCCAAUCAAAUGACUUAGACUUUGGUGUAGGAAAAUAAAUAUCAAUGAGAUUCUGUAGGGAUAGAUAAUGUCAAAGAUACAUUUAGGAUGUGUCUAAUUAAAGUUUUAUGAAAUAAAUGCAUUUAUGUAUUUUUCCUAAUGAAUUUGUAUAGGGUGUUAAAAUUCUCACAAAUAAUGAGUUUUAGGAUAUCAUACCAUAGGAUAUAAUUUACAAAAUUGUUUAAUUUCUUUCCACUUUUGGUUAUAGUAAUAUUCACAAGUGUGCCUAUUUCUAAAGAAAUUGUAUGUGUCUUCAUGUGAAAUAAAAUCUUUUGGUAUCCUUCUAAGCUGAUCUCAGUUAAUGCUGAUAGUACUUAACAGGUGUUAUUUAUAUGAAGUUCCAAAUUGGAUCUUACAUCCCAUUAUAUAUACUUCCCUCCAAAAGAUGUCUGCAUUAAAUGAGAAUUAAGAUUAAGAAAAUGACAUUUAACAUUAACAAAUUUUCUUUUUCUAAAUAAAAUGUGAUAAGACUUUUCAUUACUCACUAGAAAUGAACUUUUAUUGCUACUUAGCACAAUUGUUCAUAAAGCUACUCCAGCUUAAAAACCAUUUAAAUGAAUUUUAUUACUGCAGUGACAAACUUCAUUGAAAGUUAUUUUCACUUUAAAGAUGAUCUUAACAUGUGGCAUCCAGGGAGAGGUGGGGUGGGCUUUUCAAGUAUUUUCUAGAGAUCACUUUUAAUUCUUCAAUGAAAAUAUCAGCACUUUCAUAAAGGUUUUUUUUUAAUCUUGGCAAAAUUAACCAUGGAACACAUGAUAAUAUAUAAACAGUGUUACGUAUAACCCUAAAUGACAGUCUCCAUAUAUAAAUUUCAAGGCUACUUUGUGUAGAAGAAGACUUCGUUUUUAAGACACAUUUUAUUUAACAAUCAAAAGAAAAAAAAACCCAACAACUUGAUCAUCUUUAAAUAGUAGGAUAUAUGUUGCUAUCAUUUAAAAGAAAUUAAACACAUUUUUUUCAAAAUGCUUUUCAUCUCUCCAUUUUUGUGUAGUUUUGUAGAUAUUUUGGUAUAAGUAUGUGAGCCCAUAUUUCCAUUGUCAAAAAUGUAUAUUCAGUCAUGUUAUUAGGAGCAGUUGCCAUUAUAAGCAGUUACAAAACACCUUUUUGAUUAAUGUCUUUUAAGUUGUUUUUGUCCUACUAUUUUUAGCCUGAAUGUAAAAUAAUAAUUCAGAAAUUCUUAUGUUAUCUAUAAAGGAAGAGCAUGAAACAAGAUUAUUAUAGUAACUCAGUGAUAUAUUAUAAAGAAGAGUAUUUCCUGUAGGGUAGUCCAAUUACAAAAUAGUAAAACAGGAACAAAACACAAUAAAGUAUUUUUUUCUAUUUGUUUCAGUAAGUUUAGCACAGCAGGGAUUGUGGCAUUCCUCCUGGCUGGCGCGUCAAAUCUGCAGUUUGAAAUGUAACUGCAAAUGGGAGUUAUUUUAAAGACAUCAUAUAUAAGCUAAUAACCUUAGCCAUAUAAAUGAGACAAUUAUACAACAUUUAAUAUAUUUAAUUGCUUUUAUUGCAAUAAUUUCAUAUCUUCGGUUUGAGAAAAUAAUGUGUUUAUUUGAAAAGAUUAAUAAACUUGUAUGUUGAAGACAUGUAAGAACAAAACUUUGAAUCAUUUAAAUGCUUCUUUUGCCUGUCUGAGAUUUUUAUAGAUGUCUAUUUACUUGACUGUCUUUGAUGAGCCAGUUCAGUUCAAUUUGAGGAAAAAAUGUUACUGGUGGUAUAAAUUAACAACAACAACAACAACUGUAACACAAACCGAUAUAGGAUCUAGUAGAACUUUUGAAAAAUAACCUGAAAUCAUUUGGGGACCAUACCUUGGACUGCAACAUAAGAGGGAAAAUAUGUUCAUUAUAUGGAUUUGUAGAAAUUUAAAACAUCUAUAUUUUUAAUGGUAAGAGGUCUAGGUUUUAGAAAGUUUGGCCAAGAUAAAAAGGAUAAGUAGGGGAGCUCAGACAACUACACCAAAGAGAAGAUUCCAGAAGCUAGGGUGUCAGAAAGUGAGUCUUGAAACAAUACAGUCAGGAUUUUUGAUAACAGAAAUUUCUGAGGUAAUAUAAGUGGGACAUCCAAAGGAUAAAUGGUACUUUGAGUGGCAGAGAUUGCUUCUGACUCAGUGGUUCCUUGUGUAUUUCUUGUACAAGGCCUAAGUUCUUAUUUGAGCAGCAACAGCUCUAACGUGUGAGAACAUGCUUAACAGUUCCUGAUAGAAUGGCACAGUGUAUAGUCGCUAAAUGGGGAGACUAAAAUGGUUCUGACAGAAACUUUUAGUCUUGCCCUAUUGGUAGUUCUUAUUCAGUCAAAAGAAAGAUUUGUCUUAAUUAAGGCUUAUGUUCAUAUGUUCAUAAUUAAAGAGUUUUAAAAGCCAGAAAAAAUUCACUAAAAGCCAAUGGAUAUAAUUGUGCAGUAUCCAACUACAAAUUUAUCUGGAAAGCGUUUCACUGCCAAGCUUUUGGAGUGUGUAGUCUAAACAGUAUAAUUCCAUGCCUUUACCUCCCAGUCAUACCUCAACCCACCACAAUCUGGCUUCUUUGCAUCUCUUUUUCUAUUAGGCAUAGUACCCUUAACGAAGUAAAAGCUCAACUGACAUACUGAUGUAUUUUAAUCUGAUUUAUUAUUUAUCAUUUAUAUCCUGCUUCUCAAAGAAAUUAAAAGAGAAUCUGCUUGCAUGACGAUGAGAUACUACUAGUCAAAUAAUAAAAUAAAUCAUGUUUGUCACUUAUUAGAAAGUAAACAAUUAAGAAAAGGAGUAAGAAAAAAAAAACCUACUAUGCAGCGAAUAGUUCCUGUACAUGACUGAAAAUUCAAUAAGAGGCAAACCAUAAAAACAAAUUUCACAGAACAUGAGAAAAAGGAGGAAUCUGAGAAAAAAGUGUCCUUUGUGUUUGUUGUUCCUUUUACCCCUAUAUAUCGACAUGCAUUGCAUCCUCUCCAUCUUCAGUUCUUGCAAAUGUUACCUCCUAGAGAGGCCUUCCUUGGUUACUAUGUAAAAGUCACCUAACUUUUAUCAUCAACAUUUUUUUGUUUGAAAUAUUUUUAAAAUUUUUAAAAAUGUUUGUUUUGAGGAGGGGAGAGGCAAAGACAGAGAAAAAGAGAAUCCCAACAGGCUCUAAGCAUCAGCAUGGAGCCCAACACAGGGCUCAAAUCCCAUGAACUGUGAGAUCAUGACCUGAGCUGAAAUCAGGAGUCAGACCCAGGCACCCCAGCAUCAUCAGUAUUUCUUAUCCAUCUUUCCUAAUUUAUUUUUUCUGCUGAGAACUCAUAUCUAUCUAAUUUGCUAUAUAUUUUUUGUUUAUAAUCUUUAAUGCAUCUCUCUCAAUAGAAUAAAGCUCUAUGAAAGCAGAAAGUUGUGUGUUUGCUCACUGUAUAUCUCUAGGAUAUAGAACCGUUCCUGGGACAUGGCACGUGUUUAGUAAGCAUUUGUUGAAUGGCUGCAUGGAUGAAUAGAUUUAAUAAUUAUAUUUGACACACAAGCCCAAAGAUGGGCUGUGGUGUGGAAAUCUGAGAAUGCUGGACCAAUUAGAUAGGUAUGGAGAUGUAAUUGAAGGCAUGAAAAUGACUGUGAAAUGGAACAAAGAAAAGAGCACAGUAAAUGAAAAGAGCAUGCUCCAAUAUUUAACAAUCAUUUAGGAAAAGAAUGGGAAAAUACAAGUAAAAACAGUGGUGACUGGGGAAUGGACAAAUAAGCAUUGGGAAAAUAGAUUUUUAAAAAUUCAAGUAUAAUUAGCAUAUAGAGUAUGCCAAUACUCAUAAAUUAAUACUCAUAUUUCAGGUGUACAAUAUAAUAUAAUGAUAACAACAAUAUAAUGAUUCGACAAUUCUAUACAAUUCUGUACAUUUCUCAGUGCUCAUCAGUAUAAGUGUACUCUUAAUCCUCUUUAUUUCACCCAUCUCCCACCCACCGUUCUAUCUAAAAAUAGAAAGUUUUUAAAGUGAAAGAAAAGAAUGUUUUAAGAUGGGGAGGAACCAACUUUAUUGAGUUCUUCUGAGAGAUCAAAUAAGAGAUUUGAACAAAUAUUCUCUGGAUUCAAUGACAUGGACAUAAUUGACAUGAGCCAUAUCCAUGGAGAAGUAGGAGCUGAAGCUAGAUUGUGCAAUAUAUGAAUAAAUCAAUGGACAGGAAGGAAAUAGGCACAAUGAGUAUAGACAACAAACUUCUUUUGAUUUUUUGGCUAUCCACGGGAGGAAGGAGAGGGAAGAUUCAGGGAGCAAUGUUAUCAGAUUGGAAUAACCUAAAAUAAUUAGAUGCUAAUAAGGAGGUUCCAGGAAAUAAAAGAAGUAAAUAUUGAAAGCAUAUGACUUUAGAGAUGGUAGGAAGUGGAAUCCAGUUCCAUUUGUGGGAAUUCCAUUUUGAUAAGAAUAGGGUCAGAAGCACAGAAGAAAAGAUAGUGAUCGAUCAUUAGAAAUAGGUUUAGAGAAGUGGUAACAGCACUGUUAGGGAACACCACCUAAAGGUUUUUAUUUUUCACAAAAAUAAGAAAGAAGGCAAACUGCUGAAGAUAAAUGAAUGGAACAGGAAUAGCUUGGAAAUCAUACGGAAAGAUGAAGAUUUAAUACUGCUGGAAUGGAAUGGAAUAGUAGAAGGUUAACUAAAGGAAUAUGUUUCCUUGAUGUGGAGUCAUGACAGCUCACCUGAUCAGUAACACUGGCUAUAUCAUUAUGCUGGGCUUUGUGUGUGUGUGUGUGUGUGUGUGUGUGUGUGUGUGUGUGUAGGGUUUUCUCUGUGAACAUGGGUGUUUUCAUCCAGAGUAUGAAUUUUCUAAGAGAGGCAUGAUGGAAGAUCUAAGUAACAAGGGUCUAGGCAUUUUUACAAAAAGUUUUUUGAAAUGAUUAAAAAUAGAGUUUAAGCCAAGUAAAAACAGGGAUGGCUGAAUGGAUAAAGAAAAAUUGGAAGAAAUAAUAAUAGUAAUAAUAAUAAUGGCUAUAAUUUAUUACUUAUCAUAUGCCAAGAACUCUUCUAAAUACUUCUCAUUUGUUUACUCACUUAAUUUUUGUGACAGUCCUAUGAUGUAGGCUUUAUUAUUACUUAAAUAUCAGGUGUUAUUCUUAACACAGAACCAUGCAUAAGAUUAUACAGAUAAUAAAUAACAGAUCAGCAAUUUGAACCAUUAGAUAGUCUAGUUCUUGUGUAUUCAAUUUAACUACUUUGGAACACAGAAUAUAGCAGAGGUCUUGAAGAGCAUGAAGACCAGUACUAAUGGGGGAACUGAGCAAGCAAAAUGGGUGGCUAAGAAAUCCACAUUGGAAGCAUGGGAUGUUUGAAUUAGUAAAUUAAGAAGGAAUACACUUUAGGUUGACCACAAGGUUCUGGUCUUGGCAUGUGGACUUUUUUUUUUCUUUUUUUCUUGCUUUCCUCCAAUGGAACAAUUCCACACUGCAGGUAUAAAAUACUUUAUUCUCACUUACUGAAUAUUAUGUUUCUUAGGUAUCAUUUUUGAAACAUGAGUUUUGAUAAGUCAUUGAGACCCUAGUAAUUUGUGAUGGAUUUUUAAGAAACUGGAUUAAAGUAUACUCAGUGCAAACUCCAUGGGAGAGCAUCUUGAGGUAACAAUCUCAAGAAAUGGGUCACACCGGGAUAAAGACCAAAAUCACAGUGUAGCAACACAUGUUUGUUUCAUGUUAUGAUGGAUGACAUAGUUUGUGCUUCACCUUUGUUAUUUCAGAUAACUAACAUGGACUUUGAGAAGGUGAUUUUUUUUCUUUUUUUUAGGUUGAGAUCUUAUUCAUGUGCAUAUAAAUGUGCCUUUAGAAAUUACUUGUCAUAUACUCAGUAACUUCCUUGAGAAUUUGCUGAUUGGUUACACAGAUCAGGGCCACAUUAUAUUGCAAGGCUAGGAUAAUCAUUAGAGUUACCUAAGAAAGACUCAAGUUAUUCAAAGUUACAAACUUCAUGUUAACCUGUUAUUCUUAGUUGAUGAAAUGUGUUUGACUAAUCAUUGUAUAAAUCCUCUGCACUUCCAUGUUGCUUUCUUUCCGUGGGUGAGGGGAAGUAUACCACUGUGGUAAAGUGCAUGAAGUUUCAGGCCUACCUUGACAGGGGAACAAGCUGGGCAUGUUUGAGGACUCUGAUGAAGGCAACAUGGGUGAAGCUUCAUGGAGGAAGAUGAGUUCUGAGGCAAGAUAGGGUCUGUUUGCCAUGGGAAGGAAUAUGAAUUUCAUAUUAAUGAUAAUAAAAGCAAAUAGACACUGUUAAUCUCUGUUGUUUUUUACAGAUGGAAAAUUAAGAUUCAGAAUUUUUAAUAAUUUGUAGAUGGGAACUCUCUUAAAUGACAAAGCUGAAACUUAUACUUUUCUCUGACAGCAAAGUCUAUCCUUUAAAAAUAUCUCCUUUACUUCCUAGUACAUAAAUGAUUUAGCAGAGGUUUUUGAACAUAUGUAACCUACAUUAUAUGGCAGGUGAAAAAUUUAAUCACUGAAGUAAAUAAGUCUUAAGUACCUUUAAUCUAUUUAUUUAAUAAAUUAUAGCAGUAACAAAUAUUGUUAACUAAUGAUAUCUUUUUUUCCAAUACUUUGCAAAAGCAAAUACUUUGAACGGAUUAUCUUGUUUCUUUCCAAUAACAAUCCCGUGAGACAGGUACUGUUGUUAUAACCAUUUUAUGUAUGAAGACGCUGAGAUUCAAAUUGGUUAACAAACUUGUUCAUGGUCAUACACCAAGUAAGCAAUAAAUUCAUAAUAGCAAAAUUAUUUAACCAUGCAUCUUAUUGUCAUAGAGAAUUCUCUUAAAUCAUGGUUUUUUAAAAGCUUAGUUUCUGGUUAGUCUGUGUGUGAUUUAGUCAUAGAAAUAAAAGAAAAUAAUAUCCUGUAAAUCACAUUCUUAGUGGUCUUUUCCAAGACCAUUGAAGAGAGAAUAUCCAGAAAUCUAAGUUAGGAAAAUAAUACUGAAGAAGUCGAUGUCAGAGUAGGACUCUAAAUAGAGGUUAGGACUAUGUCCUUACUGGGCAUAUGCUCAAAUAAGAAUUUUGAAAAUAUUUAUUCAAUUAUUCAGCAAAUAUUAAAAGCCUACUAUGUGCCAGGUACUUGGGGGAAAAUGGAUUGAUGGAUAGGAGCCAGGUAAGAUCAAUAAAUAUCUGGCUGUGAUUUAACUCUUCUUCUAAACUUGUCAGAACCUAUUAAAUAGUCCCUGAGGUUAGUUGUUUUGGUCGACAGGAAUUGGUGCCAAAUAAAAAACCUUCAAGUAACUAUUAACUUUGCAUUGAAUGUAUAACAAAAUUAUUACUUACAUAAAAAGCUUAUCAUAAAUCUUAAGAUGCAAUUAUUACUCUAUGGUUUGAUCAUUUCAAAAGCAAAAAUAGAUUUAAAAGCAAAGAUUUACUGAAUUCUGAAGAGUUCAUAUCUGAAUUUUCUAUCUGAAAUAUGACAAAAUAGUGCCAGUCUUAUGAUGCCUGGUUUAACAUAAACACAUAAAUACUAGCUAAUCUAAACAGAAUGCCCAGCCAAUUCAUGAUCAUCCUGGAAUGAUACGCAGCCCGGCUGAUGUCAUGAAAGAAGGGGUGAGGGGGAGAAGCUGGUCUCUGCCUCUAGGUUGUUAAACCAUAGAAAGCCUGGGAAUACAUGGCUUUUUAAAUAUAAAUACACACUUCUAAUUCAGGGCUUCUUAUGAUGUCAUAUAGUUAUGCUCUUCCGUUUGGUGUAUGCUAUCUUGAAUAUUUCAUGCUAAAAAAGAACAAGUAGAAAGCUGAGCUACUAUCCUUUUGGCCAAAUGUUCAACUUUUCCUUCUGUGACUUUGAAGGUAGUAGCCUGCAGAUGUAAUAUCUUCCUUCUUAAGCAAUUUCCUUAAGCAAAAUUGUUUUAAAAAUAUGCCUGAUAUCUUUGUUUAUGCCUACAGGUUGCCUAGCUAUUGGCUACAUGCAUGGUUUUCAAUGAAGCGUGUGUGUGUGUGUGGGUGUGUGGGUGUGUGUGUGUGUGUCUGUGUGCGUGCGCACAUGCACCUGCGUGCAUGUGUGUGUGUGUGUGUGUGUGUGACUUCUAAUGGCAUAGUAAUAAUUUCAGGGGAGGAAGCAAGAAAGAGAGCAAAAUAAAUGUAUUACAUUUUUGUACUCUCUCCUUGCAUUUUUUUUUAAAAGAUAAGAAGGCCCUGUGGCUAAAUAUAAGCUGGUAAUUUGAUCAUUACUUGUUAUUCACUUGAACUACUACAGUCAACAUAUAAUGGACAGUGAACAGAGAGAACUCUUUUGGUAAGCCAUGUAGUUUUUCCAAGUGUGAUUGCUAUGCUAUGUGUAUUUAGAUGGAAGCUUUUCCCUGUAUAAUCAGCUUGCUGCUGCCCAUUUUACUGCCAAACAUUCCUUCUCUAUGAUAGCAUAAUACUGUUACCAAGGGAACAGCUUAUGGCCGACACUUGCAGUAGUGCCACAAAUUAAUUUCACAGUUAUCAGGAUAUAGGACGAUAACAGUAAUGUGGGCUACUGUGAAAUUACCAUUGUUCCCAUGGAGUUACAGUGUAAUUAUUACUUUCGUAGUAACUAAGCAAAUAAUUCAUAUGACUACUGAUGGAUGUUUGUUUUCUGUUUCUCUGCCUCUCCCUUCUACCUUUCCCUUUUCCUUCUAAUAUUUCUCUCAUUGUUGGUUUGGAAUCUCUCUGACACCUUUUUCAUAAUUUAUAGUAUAGAGUAAUUUUUUAUAUUGGCAUUAAGAAAGGAUUAUAGUGACUUGAGGUGAGGACUUACCAUUUAUGGAAGUCAUGUUCAUAAUUAGGAUGUUUACUAUAUACAUCAUGAAUAUAUACAGACUAAAACAUAGAUUUUUCCUGGUAUAUUGAAAGGAUAUAUUCAAUUUGUGAUGAGUGUGGGAUGAGAAAUUAGAAUCUUAUUUUCAUAGAAAAUUAAGUCCAUAUGUUGAAUAGAGGUAUCCAUUUAAUGUGAUUAAAAGCACUGAAGAAAAAUGAAUAGUAUCUAACUUCCUUAAUUAGUGACAUGAUUUGACACAAGGCAGACAACUUCCUUAAGCCUCCAUACUUUCACCUAUAAAAUGGGGAUGUUAAUAAUAUCUAUGUAACAAUUGGUAUGUAUAUUAAAAGAGAUAUGUGUGGGAGUGAAUUUUAAUCUGUACAGUACAAUAAAAGUUUUAGAUGUUACCAGAAUUGCCAUAUCUUUAUUGGAGCACGUCUUGAUGACAUAUUAUUCUUGUUCAUAGGGUAAGUUUAUAAGGAGACUUCAAAAAACAAUAGUGACACAAAGAAGGAUCAGUUUUUAUUGUAUUUUAUUAGAAUAAGAAAUACUAUUUCAUUAUAUCUAUGGUACAAUAAAAUGAGACAUGUAAUCAGUAUAACAAUAAUUUUUAGUAACUAAAUUCCUCAGAGUAUGAAAUUCAUAUUUUAUACUAUAUUGAAUAUCAUAUAUGUGUUAAAUAAAAGUUAAGCAUUGAAACAUAAAAUAAUGACAGUAAUGUGUAUAACAUGCUCAUUAUUUAAAAAAGAGGGUCCAUGCUGGUUAAGUCUCUGAGUUUGGCUCAUAUCGUAAUCUUGCCCUUUGUGAGUUUGAGCCCCACUUGGAGCUCUGUGCUGACAGUGCAGAGCCUGGAGCCUGCUUUGGAUUCUGUGUCUCCCUCUCUCUGCCCCUCCUCUGCUCAUGCGCUCUCUCUCUCUCUCUCUCUCUCUCUCAAAAAUAAACAUUUCAAUUUUUUUUUAAAAAGGGGCGCCUGGAUGCCUCAGUUGGUUGAACAUCCGACUCAGGUCAUGAUCCCAGGGUCCUGGGAUCCAGUCCCUGCAUUGGACUCUGUGCUAAGUGUGGAUCCUGCUUGGGUAUCAGUCUCUCUCUCUCUCUCUCUCUCUCUCUCUCUCUCUCUCUCUCUCUCUCUCUCCCUCUCUCUCUCUCUCUCUCUAAAACAAACAAAAAAAUAAAAAUAAAAAGCCCCAACAGUGUUGAAUGUAUGUGAAAUUAUAAUUGUUCACUAUGUCAAAAAUUGAAGUUGCUAAGACAAGGAUUCAUCUGUAUAAAUGAAAGUCAAAUUUAUGUAGGAAUAUCUAUUGUGAUUGUUUGCUGUAAUGCACAAUAUGGUCUUUAUUUUUUAUUCUACUUAAUUUACUUUCUAAAAUUUUAUAUUUCAUAUUAGUAGGAUACACAUAUGAUGUAGAGUUAACAUUUUUUCACUAAAUGUUGCUAUAUAUUUGUUAUUCCAACACUGUAAAUUAUAUACCUUUACCAUUUUGAAAAUUGUGUGAUAGAACAAAAUAACUUGAUGAAAUUUGUUGUAGGUAGAGAUACAUUUAUUUUGUUUUAAAAUUUUUUAAUGUUUAUUUUUGAGAGACAGAGUGUCAGUGGGGAAGGGACAGAGAGAGAAGAAGACACAGAAUCUGAAACAGGCUCCAGGCUCUGAGCUGUCAGCACAGAACCCGAUGCAGAGCUCAAACCCAUGAACUGUGAGAUCCUGACCUGAGCUGAACUUGGAUGCUUAACUGACUGAGCCACCCAGGCACCCUCGUAGAUACAUUAUUGAAUGAAUGAAUGAAUGAAUGAAUGAGAGUGAUGAUGAGUAUAUAGUAAGCUGCCUCCAGGUGCUGAAUGUCUUUUUGGAGAAGAUAGGAAAUGACAAAUAGAACAUAUUUUCUCCCUUAUGUUUUUCUGCUACCCAUUUUGAAGUUACCCAACAAUAGUACCUUCGAAUUCUAAAGAAUUUGAAAGAAGCAUGAGUUUAACUGACCUUUCUGUAUAUCUCAUUAAUCAUCGUUUUUUUUAAUAUUGUUUUAAUGACACUUAUGGAUAGUCUGACAUUAUUAAGACCCAGUUUUAUCAUUGGUGAAGUGGAGAUGAUGCUGAAAUGUUAUAACACCUAGGUUAGGAAAUAUAUAUGUAAAAUAUUUGGUACAAGAAAGGUCUAAUGCAGUCUACAGACUUCAGUAGCAGUAUUUUUCUCUUUCCCUCUCUGGGAGAGUGACAGGGUCAUAUGAUUAAACUGGUGUCAGGGAAGUACCUAUGAUUAAGGUCUUCUUACAAUAUAGUCCUUCCUUGCAUUUAAUGGGCAUAUGACAAACAGUUGUUAAUUGAAACAUCUUUACUUUAUUCUGCAUUAUGACCCUAAGGUUCACAGAGGAAGGUUCUCUUUGACUCAGAGCUAUUAAAAAGCAUGCAUCUGUUCCCUCAUUUUUAAAAACAGUUUUUUUUAAUGUUUAUCUAUUUGAGAGAGAGAGGCAGGGAGAGGGGCAGCGAGAGAGGGAGACCCAGAAUCCAAAGCAGGCUCCAGGCUCUGAGCCUUCAGCACAGAGCCCGAUGUGGGGAUCGAACCCACAAACCAUGAGAUCAUGACCUGAGCCAAAGCCAGAUGCUCAACUGACUGAGCCACCCUGGUGCCCCCCAUCUGUUCCCUCAUUAAAAAAAAUAUUUUUUUUGAGGGGCGCCUGGGUGGCUCAGUCGGUUGAGCGGCUGACUUAGGCUCGGGUCAUGAUCUCGCGGUCCAUGAGUUCGAGCCCCGCGUCAGACUCUGUGCUGACAGCUCAGAGCCUGGAGCCUGUUUCAGAUUCUGUGUCUCCCUCUCUCUGACCCUCCCCCAUUCAUGCUCUGUCUCUCUCUGUCUCAAAAAUAAAUAAACGUUAAAAAAAAUAUUUUUUGAAAUCAGAUUCUUAAACCCCAAAUAUUAUGAACACUGUUUUCUAGAGUAACUGAGAAUUGAGAAGAUUUUUUUCCCUCUUAUCCCAUUACUAACUCCUCUGUAUUCCCAUUUCUUUCUUUCCCCACAAUUUAACAAAAAGGAAAUAUCUAAUAAAAUAUUGGUGUAGCUAAGUAUUCAAGUGUACAUAUUUUAGUGAUAAGAAUAGCUUUAGACAAAUCUAUUAAAAUAUUUGUUUUUCUCUUGUCCACAAAUGUGGUGUACCGAGUGGGAUGAAUUAGCUUAGUCUGUUCACUAUCAUUUAAAUAUUCUUUUUCUAAAAAGAAAGGGGAUUUUGCAGUGUAAAAAAGAACUGUACCUGGGGCCAAUUGAUUCAUGUGCAGACCAUGAUGUAGGUACUAGACUUAAGCAUGUUUUUUCUGUAAGCUUUCUGCAUUAUCGCAAAUGCAAAUUUCUCACUACUUCAAAAGUGUUUAGCACAGCUAUACUAUAAAUACACACUAGACCAUAAAACUUGUUAUAGUACUGCUAAAGCUACAGUCGCCAAAGCAGAUUAUUAUGGUUUCCAAGUUAAGUAGAGGUUUCAGUGGUUUUAGUUUUAUAAAUGAUGUUUUCUUUCCUGAAUCAUAAAGUGAAUCUAGUAGUUCUUAACCGGGGGACUGGGUGUUAUUACUCCUCAGGGGACAUUUGGAAGUGUGAGGAAGCGUUUUUGGUUGUCACAAUAAUAGGUUGAUGCUUUGGCAUUUAAUAGGAGGGGAUCAGAGAUAUCGGAUGUCCCACAAAAAGGAAGAGCUGUUCCUUACAAAAUGUGAAUGAUGCCUCUUGAGAAACUAUGACUACAACUUAUCUGUUGUAUUGAAUAUUUUUUAUACUACAUAUUAAACUCUUAUUUAGACACACUUUGGAUGACCCAACUGCCUGUUUCCUGUCUGAAUGUAUAGACAUUAAUAAAGAAGCUAAAAGUUCAGGGGAGUAACUUAUUUAUAAAAUAUAUUACAAUAAUUUGAUAGGUGGAAACUGUUUGAUAGCAGCUUUUACUAAAUUAUUUACUGUAAUAAUUGUAGAUGGGAUUAAAUUAUCUGAUGCUUUUCUUUUUCUAAUUGAAUAUUUUGAACUCAGCAGAAUGUCCUCUGGAGUAAUUCUGCUUUUUCCAAGUUAAGCAACCUUAUAUGAGCCUAGUCGUUUGAAGAAUUCUAAAGAACAGUAAAGAAAAGAUGUAAAGAGACUAAUAAAUAAUAUCCAAAUGAUAGGAGAACACAGAAAAUAAUCACACUGUUUUUUACUUUUCCAACAUAUGUUAUCCACAUUUUGCAGAAAAAUAGAAUGUAUUCAGGCAAUUUCUCUGAAACAAAUGUCAAAAAAGUAAGAGAGGCGCAUAAAUCACAUUGUUGCAGAAUAUUCUGUGCCCUCCAUGGAAACAUUGUAUUGUUGUUUGAAAUGUAUAGAUUCUGUUGAAAAUCCAUUCUCUCCAGGGUACCCUGAUGCAGAAUCCCUCUGGGCAUUGUACCAUCCUUCUCAGUAUGUUUAAGAAAGAGCUUUCAGAGACAAAAAUGUUAGUAUCACUGCUCUCCCUCUUAUGCAAGAAGAGUGACCUCUUCUAGCGGCAACUUUUCUGUGUAAAAAGAGUAUAAUCCCAAAGUCAGCUGAGUUUAGGAGUAGCGUUUAUUUUGAGCCUCGAUCAACUUUGAGACAGAUUUAUCACUUUUUCCAUCACCAGAAAGAGUUGCUCUUAGGAAUUUUAGUUAGCAGUGCAGAAAUUACUGAAGGUUUCCAGAGAAAGGUGGAUGAAAGAUUUACAGCAUAGGUCCCAUUCCUGUUAAUGUGAACCUUGAGUAGCCUUGUCCCUUCUCAGGGGCUGCCCCUGACUCCUACACACACCCUUCUGUGUUGCCAGUGUGGUUCUCUGAUCUUCGACUUGAUCCUCUUCCUUCCCAUCUUGAAGGCCUUCCUCUCAUCUUUUUCAAAACCAUCCAUCUCUAUGUCUGUCAGAGAUUUAAAGUUGUAUGUAAGUUAAUCAUUUUAUGUUUAAGCUUUCUUUCUAAUAACUAGCUGAUCAGCUGUAUUCAGAGUGAGCAUGUUGAUUUGGGAAAGGAGUUGAGUGAUUUGGGGACAUGGAAUCCUUCGGGGGGUAUAUCUGAGAAGACAUACUUGCAUUAUUCGUUUUGUUAUUCAAAUAUUGCUUUUCUGGGGAAUUGAGAAAAUUGUGAAAUAGCAAAAGGAACUCAGGCCAGCAUGAGAUCUCAUGGGCUGAGAAAAAAUGUGGGAGGUGAGAGUAAAGUAGAGAAAAAGAAAUGGGGCUAUUUAAAAUUUUGUAACAUCUUAAAAAUAUGAUUUAUUUUCUGGGAAGAAAAGCCUAAAAUUCAUAUUCAUAAACCAUUUUUUUCAGAAAUUAAAUCAUUAGAAUUUACCCUGCAAGUUUGUAUAUUCUACUGAUCAAUAGUAACCACACGAAUAAUUGCUUAUCAUUCAGUUUGACAAAAGAAAGAAAUGCUGUUCAAUGAUUGAUGCUCCCAGUAUAGUCAGAAGCUGUAUCAUUAAACUAUAUCUCAGGUAAAGCAUUUCUAAGGGAGGCUCAGCUUCUAUAUCCCCAUUAUAUUGGUUUCUGAAAUGUAAUAUACAGAUAGUAUUUUCAAAAAUUUAAUACUGAAAAA